UACACAAGAUCCAAAACUCCGUUUACCAUUUGAUGCCCAACGCUACAUUAUUGCAAAACUAUUUCAUUGUUGGCCUGAUAUGUGCUUUGACGUCUCGGUGUGCAAAUUUUGUUGCCGUUUUGUACAACCGGUCGCUUCAUCCUCUUCCUGUUCGACCUAUUGGAUAGAACAAUCACUAUACUCGACCCUCUUCCCCUAUCGGAUGCAUGGAAAAAGAAUCCUUCACAGAAGGACAUAUUUAAGAUUCAAUGUAUUUCAUUCCAUCUAAACAUAGCAUUACAAGAUGCAAUUCCUGGCUGGAAUGAUGAUGUUUUUAGAUGGCGUCGCAUCAUAUCAAUUGGAGUUCCAAAAAACCCAAACAGCAAUAUGUCUGGGUUUUUAGUUUUAAAGAUUAUGCGCACGUGGCAUGAUCAUGAACAUGGAUUACCUGUUGUCCCGGACAAUUAUGACCUACGGAAUCAGGUGUUGGUACACUUGCUGUCGUACAAGGACAAUGAAUGCGUAGAAAAUAUUCCACAAGUCGUGCGUGAUUUGGUGAAGAGAAUUGGGAUAAACUUUUUUUAGUCGGAGAAUCAUAUGUGUUAUUUUAUUACAACAGCGACGAUCAAUUAAGGCGCUUGAGGAUAUUGGUUAUUA